rnacentral:lncRNA from 1 species
AGGAGAGUGACCUAGGGAAACUGCUAAACACCUCCCAAGGGUUUCUGCUGUCUUGCGCCUGAACUCACCGGUCAGCCCUCCUCAUGUGUGACUGCGGUGUCUGCACAACCAUCCUGGAAAUAACUGAGCAGGCCAAGGUGCCUCAGGUCUAGCUUUUGUGGGCGGUUAAGACUGUGUCCACCAAGAGGAAGAAAAGGAGAACCUGGCUUCCAGGUUUUGGGGCAUGGCCCUGUUACCCAAUGCUGUUUGCUCCAGAGAAGCAUGGAAACAAGAGGUAAUGCUGCAUAGACAACAGAGCCGAAAGUGUGGAAGAUAUACUGAGUACCAAAACUGAAUUUUAGAAAAUACAAAGAUAAAUUAGAACAUUGUGCUCAGUCUAUCAGGAUGCAAUUUAUUAAAGACAAAAUGUAAGUUCUUAGGUUUAAGUUCACAAAACAAGCUGUGCAAGUAUGGAGCACAGCAUGUCAGAGGAAAACCUUUCAUUUGUUUUCAGUAAACUCCAUUUGAAUCAAGACAAUGACUGUGCCCCACACUGUCUCCCCCUGACCUCUGUGUGUUCAGGCAGACAGGAUGAUGGAGGGACUGGCUCUUUCUGAUGUCUGAGGAAUCUUGGAAGUCCUGGGAACAUUUAGCCUGGAGAAGAGGAGAAUUCACAGAAUGCUGGCUGCUGUCACAAGUCUGAAGAGCUGUCAGCAAGAGGAGGGACUGACAUCAGGACCCGCAGAGGAAGAGACCUGCUUCCACCCAGUCUAACAAACAACCUCCUGGAGAAACAACCACGCAGGUGGUCAGGAGCGCAGGCUCCAAAGUGAGACAGACCUGGGCUUAAAUGCCCCCUCCACCUCCUAACCUCUGAAUAUGAGUCCCUCCUGCGUGUGAAAGAUGAGGAUGCAGCAGCUCCCUCAGAAUUCCCAAAGCAUUCGAUGAGAGGUGCACUACAGGGGCUCAGAAAUGCCAGACAAAGUCAGUGCUAGACUGUCAGCUGCUGUGAGAUUAUGAUCUCUCUUCGGCAGAGCUGCCCAGGAAGCAGUGCCUGUUUCCAGAAGAGCCUUCCAAAGUUGAGGCUCUCCAUUUCCAGUUAAGCUAAUUUAGGAAGAUUGCACAAGUGGAAACACCACAUGCGACUAACUGCAUGAUUAAUAAGAACAUGUUGACUUAAGUUCUUGAUUGCCAAAUGGAUUUUUGCCUUAUAAAUAUUUUUGAAUGGAUUAUCACUGAAAUCUUGGGGUUCAGUCAGAAGACUACUGUCUAAAUUUUUUCUGUAUUUCUUUUGGGGUCGUGAUUUGAUCCAGGGUGUGGCCAAAUCUACAUCGUUGAAUAGUUCUACGAAGCUCCCCGGGUGUUACUGGGGAUGUUGACUCAACAUUUUCAUGGUUUUCAGUUUUUAUGGUCAUUCGUGUAAAAUGGGGCUCAAGUGUUUGUCUUUUCCACUUGAAAAACUCAUCAUUGGUUUGUGGUAACUAAGUCAUUUAUUCUUCAUAGAAUGAUGCUGAGAAAGAAAAAACUGUGACAACAGUCAUGGAUAUUAAUGAAUGAGCAUGAACUUAGCCCAUUUGCAUUCUGAAGUAUGGAGCGUGGGAGAAACAGUGACUUGCUGCUCCGCAGGGGACCGUUAGCUUACUCUCCGACGUGUUUUUGCUGUUGUUGUUUCUUUCUUCGUUUUUAACAUUUUUUGGUUUAGUACUUUAUAAUGCAUAUUUUGAAUUAAAAAAUGAAUUACAGAGUGGCUAUGUCAGAAGAACUGAGGGUCUUUGGACUUUUUUUUUUUUUUAAUAAUUGCAGACUCAACUGUGAAAUUGCUGCUUACAUUUCCUUCAGAAAUAAUGAACUCCUGUGACAGUGACUUUGAAUGUGUCUUUAACACACUUGACUUAAUGAGAUCCCUUUUCUGGAGGAUAUAAAAUGUUCCCCAGAGAUGUAAUGUCACCACUAGGGGAUAAUCUAAUGUCCUAAAAGGGCUAAUUAUUUCCCCUAAAACAUUACAACAAACUCAUUACUGUAAGGACAACCCUAUGAACUCUUUAAAAGAUGAUGAAAAUGACAGCACCGAGAAGGGAGAUGGUCCUACUCUUUGGGGUAAUAAACGACAUUCAGAGUUAGAAUCCUUUGACAAUCAAAUAUUUUUUAAAACUUUUUUAAAAUUAUACUUUAAGUUCUAGGAUACAUGUGCAGAAUGUGCAGGUUUGUUACAUAGGUAUACAUGUGCCAUGAUGGUGUGCUGCACCCAUCAACCCAUCAUCUCGGUUUUAAGCCCUGAAUGCAUUAGGUAUUUCUUCUAAUGCUGUCCCUCCCCUUGCUCCCCACCCCCUGACAAGCCCCAGUGUGUGAUGUUCCCCUCCCUGGGUCCACGUAUUCUCAUUGUUCAACUCCCACUUAUGAGUGAAAACAUGCGGUGUUUGGUUUUCUGUUCCUGUGUUAGUUUGCUAAGAAUGAUGGUUGCCAGCUUCAUCCGUGUCCCAGUAAAGGACAUGAACUCAUUCAUUUUUAUGGCUGCAUAGUAUUCCAUGGUGUGUCUGUGCCACAUUUUCUUUAACCAGUCUAUCAUUGAUGGGCAUUGGGUUGGUUCCAAGUCUUUGCUAUUGUAAAUAGUGCUGCAAUAAGCAAGCA